UAUCUACCCUUUGGCCUGGAAUAACACGAGGAAACUUGUGCUAAUACCGGAUAAGUCUUUACGGAGAAAGCUUUAUGCACCAUUUGAUGAGCCUGCACUUGAUUAGUUUGUUGGUGGGGUAAUGGCCUACCAAGACUGUGAUCAAUAGCUGGUUUGAGAGGAUGAUCAGCCACAUUGGGACUGAGACACGGCCCAAACUCCUACGGGAGGCAGCAGUGGGGAAUCUUGCACAAUGGAGGAAACUCUGAUGCAGCGAUGCCGCGUGAGUGAAGAAGGCCUUUGGGUUGUAAAGCUCUUUCGUCGGGGAAGAAAAUGACUGUACCCGAAUAAGAAGGUCCGGCUAACUUCGUGCCAGCAGCCGCGGUAAUACGAAGGGACCUAGCGU
rnacentral:rRNA from 1 species